rnacentral:piRNA from 1 species
UAAACCUUGCCAAAAGCCCAUGGCUCUGAAG